rnacentral:rRNA from 1 species
CCUACGGCGGCAGCAGUGAGGAAUAUUGGUCAAUGGACGAGAGUCUGACCCAGCCAAGUAGCGUGAAGGAUGACUGCCCUAUGGGUUGUAACCUUCUUUUAUCUGGGUAUAAAACAGGGUAUGCAUACCUUCUUGUCUGUACCAUAUGAAUACGGAUCGGCUAACUCCGUGCCAGCAGCCGCGGUAAUACGGAGGAUCCGAGCGUUAUCCGGAUUUUUUGGGUUUAAAGGGAGCGUAGGUGGGUUGUUAAGUCAGUUGUGAAAGUUUGCGGCUCAACCGUAAAAUUGCAGUUGAGACUGGCAGUCUGGAGUACAGUAGAGGUGGGCGGAAUUCGUGGUGUAGCGGUGAAAUGCUUAGAUAUCACGAAGAACUCCGAUUGCGAAGGCAGCUCACUGGACUGCAACUGACACUGAUGCUCGAAAGUGUGGGUAUCAAACAGGAUUAGAUACCCGGGUAGUC